GAAUAUUGGGCAAUGGCCGAGAGGCUGACCCAGCCAUGCCGCGUGCAGGAAGAAGGCCUUCUGGGUUGUAAACUGCUUUUACCAGGGAAGAAAACGCGCCUGCGGGCGUAACUGACGGUACCUGGUGAAUAAGCACCGGCUAACUCCGUUCCAGCAGCCGCGGUAACACGGAGGGUGCAAGCGUUGUCCGGAUUUAUUGGGUUUAAAGGGUGCGUAGGCGGCCCGUUAAGUCAGCGGUGAAAUCCCAGGGCUCAACCCUGGAACUGCCGUUGAUACUGGCGGGCUUGAGUUCGGUCGAGGCGGGCGGAACUGGUGGUGUAGCGGUGAAAUGCAUAGAUACCACCAAGAACCCCGAUUGCGAAGGCAGCUCGCUGGCCCGAAACUGACGCUGAGGCACGAAAGCGUGGGGAGCGAACAGG
rnacentral:rRNA from 1 species